GUUCCUUUUGGCAGCACAUAUAUUAAAAUUGGAAUGAUACAAAGAUUAGCAUGAUCCCUGCGCAAGGAUAAAAUUCAUGAAGUGUUGCAUAUUUAA
rnacentral:snRNA from 1 species